GGUCUGUAUCGUAUCAUAAAGUCCAGGUCUGUAUCGUAUCAUAAAGUCCAGGUCUGUAUCGUAUCAUAAAGUCCAGGUCUGUAUCGUAUCAUAAAGUCCAGGUCUGUAUCGUAUCAUAAAGUCCAGGUCUGUAUCGUAUCAUAAAGUCCAGGUCUGUAUCGUAUCAUAAAGUCCAGGUCUGUAUCGUAUCAUAAAGUCCAGGUCUGUAUCGUAUCAUAAAGUCCAGGUCUGUAUCGUAUCAUAAAGUCCAGGUCUGUAUCGUAUCAUAAAGUCCAGGUCUGUAUCGUAUCAUAAAGUCCCGGUCUGUAUCAUAUCAUAAAGUCCAGGUCUGUAUCGUAUCAUAAAGUCCAGGUCUGUAUCGUAUCAUAAAGUCCAGGUCUGUAUCGUAUCAUAAAGUCCAGGUCUGUAUCGUAUCAUAAAGUCCAGGUCUGUAUCAUAUCAUAAAUAAAGUCCAGGUCUGUAUCAUAUCAUAAAUAAAGUCCAGGUCUGUAUCAUAUCAUAAAUAAAGUCCAGGUCUGUAUCAUAUCAUAAAUAAAGUCCAGGUCUGUAUCAUAUCAUAAAUAAAGUCCAGGUCUGUAUCAUAUCAUAAAUAAAGUCCAGGUCUGUAUCAUAUCAUAAAUAAAGUCCAGGUCUGUAUCAUAAAUAAAGUCCAGGUCUGUAUCAUAAAUAAAGUCCAGGUCUGUAUCAUAAAUAAAGUCCAGGUCUGUAUCAUAUCAUAAAUAAAGUCCAGGUCUGUAUCAUAAAUAAAGUCCAGGUCUGUAUCAUAAAUAAAGUCCAGGUCUGUAUCAUAAAUAAAGUCCAGGUCUGUAUCAUAAAUAAAGUCCAGGUCUGUAUCAUAAAUAAAUAAAGUCCAGGUCUGUAUCAUAAAUAAAUAAAGUCCAGGUCUGUAUCAUAUCAUAAAUAAAGUCCAGGUCUGUAUCAUAUCAUAAAUAAAGUCCAGGUCUGUAUCAUAUCAUAAAUAAAGUCCAGGUCUGUAUCAUAUCAUAAAUAAAGUCCAGGUCUGUAUCAUAUCAUAAAUAAAGUCCAGGUCUGUAUCAUAUCAUAAAUAAAGUCCAGGUCUGUAUCAUAUCAUAAAUAAAGUCCAGGUCUGUAUCAUAAAUAAAGUCCAGGUCUGUAUCAUAAAUAAAGUCCAGGUCUGUAUCAUAAAUAAAGUCCAGGUCUGUAUCAUAAAUAAAUAAAGUCCAGGUCUGUAUCAUAAAUAAAUAAAGUCCAGGUCUGUAUCAUAAAUAAAUAAAGUCCAGGUCUGUAUCAUAAAUAAAUAAAGUCCAGGUCUGUAUCAUAAAUAAAUAAAGUCCAGGUCUGUAUCAUAAAUAAAUAAAGUCCAGGUCUGUAUCAUAAAUAAAUAAAGUCCAGGUCUGUAUCAUAAAUAAAUAAAGUCCAGGUCUGUAUCAUAAAUAAAUAAAGUCCAGGUCUGUAUCAUAAAUAAAUAAAGUCCAGGUCUGUAUCAUAAAUAAAUAAAGUCCAGGUCUGUAUCAUAAAUAAAUAAAGUCCAGGUCUGUAUCAUAAAUAAAUAAAGUCCAGGUCUGUAUCAUAAAUAAAUAAAGUCCAGGUCUGUAUCAUAAAUAAAUAAAGUCCAGGUCUGUAUCAUAAAUAAAUAAAGUCCAGGUCUGUAUCAUAAAUAAAUAAAGUCCAGGUCUGUAUCAUAAAUAAAUAAAGUCCAGGUCUGUAUCAUAAAUAAAUAAAGUCCAGGUCUGUAUCAUAAAUAAAUAAAGUCCAGGUCUGUAUCAUAUCAUAAAGUUCAGGUCUGUAUCAUAAAUAAAUAAAGUCCAGGUCUGUAUCAUAAAUAAAUAAAGUCCAGGUCUGUAUCAUAAAUAAAUAAAGUCCAGGUCUGUAUCAUAUCAUAAAGUCCAGGUCUGUAUCUUCAGCUAGCAGCCCUAGAGGAGUGUGAACUCUAGGUGUACUGUAUGCGUAGUGUUGCAGUCUAGUAUUCCCAGUAUAUCGUCUUCUGAAAUAAUUUCCCUUUAUUCAGCGUUUUAAAUUUGACCCUAAACUAUUUGAUCAAAUGAAAUGUCUGUCUGGAGCUAUGGUAUAGUAUUUGUGGUAUAUUUGUAAAUUGUGUUUAUGUACUAGUGUAUUAUUCUCAUAGUCCAAGGUUAGGAUACGUGUUCUUUAAUGGAAUGGAUGUAGAAUGUGUCAUUAAAACAUCUCUUCA